rnacentral:rRNA from 1 species
UACGUAGGGGGCAAGCGUUGUCCGGAAUCAUUGGGCGUAAAGCGCGUGUAGGCGGCUCGAUAAGUCUGCUGUGAAAGUCCAAGGCUCAACCUUGGGAUGCCGGUGGAUACUGUCGAGCUCGAGUCCGGAAGAGGAGUGUGGAAUUCCUGGUGUAGCGGUGAAAUGCGCAGAUAUCGGGAAGAACACCCGUGGCGAAGGCGGCUCUCUGGGACGGUACUGACGCUGAGACGCGAAAGCGUGGGGAGCGAACAGG